GACGAGACUUAGAGCUUCUUAGGCCUUCCAUAAGCAACCAGCCACGCCGCGCCACGGACGGCGCGGCGAGCCCGAAAUGAACAACGGACUGUGAAUAGAGGGCGGUGGCGUAAGUUGCCGCAACCUUCGAGGAAGGCCUUAGAAGGUCAAGUCGAGGG
rnacentral:ncRNA from 1 species